UACGUAGGGGGCUAGCGUUGUCCGGAAUUAUUGGGCGUAAAGAGCUCGUAGGCGGUCUGUCGCGUCUGGUGUGAAAACUCAGGGCUUAACCCUGACGCUUGCAUUCGGGUACGGGGCAGACUAGAGUGCGGUAGGGGAGACUGGAAUUCCUGGUGUGCGGUGAAAUGCGCAGAUAUCGGGAAGAACACCCGUGGCGAAGGCG
rnacentral:rRNA from 1 species